rnacentral:lncRNA from 1 species
CUCUCACGAGGCGUCCCGGCGACGAUGACGACGAUGUGGAAGCUCUGGCGUCCUCACCUGGUUGUAGCUGCGCUACUCAACGCGGAACCCACGGUGGCCUACCGGCGCCGGCCCAUCCGUGGCGGCGAGGUACCUACCGUAGGCGGCACUGUGGAGGAGCAGGUACGGCACCUGCGAGCGGGGGGGGCUGGUACACGUGCACCGCCCAGGCCGCGUUCAUCGACACCCGGCGGUGGUGGAGGGAGACGCCACGCCCGUCCUCCUCGGCGUGCAGGUACGUGCCGAGCUCGCGGCUCCGCAGCCGCACGUGCUGGCCGUGGUGGAACUGCUCCAUGGGUCGCUUGAGCUGGACCGAUGCGGAGGGGAGGGGGUGGGCUCUGCGCGGCGAGACGGAUAGCGGGUUCUUGGUUUCUUGGCGCUCCGGCGACGGGGAGAAGAGGAGGAGCACGGUGGCCUUGCCUGGCAGAGGUGGUGGUUCGGGCCAGGGGAGGCCAUGUUGCGGCGGCGAUUGCGAUGCAGUGGGGCGCAGGAGGAGAGGAUGAGGACGAGAGAGGGCUCGCUAGGUUUGGGGUCGUGGGUGGCAGGGAGAUAUUUUUUUUUUUUAAAGGUUACUAACGGCGCACCAGCUGGUGAUGCGUUAUUAGUAGUUUUGUAAAAAAAAAUUAUAGUAGUCGCGCACCAUCUACAGAUGCGCUAUUAGUAACCAGGGUUACUAAUGGCGCACCAGCUGGUGGUGCAUCAUUAGUAGUUUUGCAAAUAUAUAUAUAUAGUAGUGGGGCACCGAGUGUGUGGUGCGCCAUUAAUAUCCAUCACACUAAUGGCACAUCUGCACAUGGUGCGCCACUGCUAUAUAGUAGUGGCGCACUACUUGUGUGGUGCGUCAUUAGUGUCUAUAUCAUCUAUAGCCCUUUUCCUAGUAGUGAUCCAUAUAGUUAUGGGGCUUGAUCAUGUCUUGCUUGUGAGAGAGGUUUUAGUCAAGGGUGUGAACCUUUCAGAUCCGUGUGUGAUUUACAAAUCUCUAUGUCAACCUAUAGAUGUUGCUACCACGCGUCAUUUGGAACUAUUUCAAAUGACUGCUCCACUAUACGAAUCCGGUUUACUACUCAGAGUUAUUCAAAUUAGUGGCAAAGCAUGCAUCGACGUAACCCUUCACGACAAACUCUUUAAUCACCUCCAUAAUCGAGAAAAAUUCCUUAGUCCACUAGUUACUAAGAAUAACUUUGACCGAUGUUCAGUGAUUCAAUAAUGGAUCACUCUUUGUACCCCUUGACAAAUUCAUGACAAGGCACACAUCAGGUGCGGUACACAGCAUGACAUACUUUAGAGCCUAUGACUAAGGCAUAGGGGACGACCUUCGUCCUUUCUCUUUCUACUACAGUGGUCGGGCUUUGAGUCUUACUCAAAUUCACUCCUUACAACACAACCAAGAACUCCUUCUUUGUUGAUCUAUUUUGAACUCCUUCAAAAACUUGUCAAGGCAUGCAUUUUGUUGAAAGUUCUAUUAAGCUCUUUGAUCUCUCUCCAUAGAUCUUGAUGCUCAAUGUUCAAGUAGCUUAAUCCAGGUUUUCCUUUGAAAAACUCCUUUCAAAUAACCCUUUAUGCUUUCCAGAAAUUCUACAUUAUUUCUGAUCAAAAUAUAUCAACCACAUAUAUUUAUCAGAAAUUCUAUAGUGCUCCCACUCAAUUCUUUGGAAAUACAAGUUUCUCAUAAACUUUGUAUAAAACCAAAAACUUUGAUCAUCUCAUCAAAGCGUAUAUUCCAACUCCGAGAUGCUUGCUCCAGUCCAUAGAAUGAUCGCUGGAGCUUGCAUACUUGUUAGCAUCCUUUAGGAUCGAAAAAAAAAUCUGAUUGUAUCACAUACAACCUUUCCUCAAGGAAACCGUCGAGGAAACAAUGUUUUGACAUCCUAUCUACAAGAUUUCACAAAUAAUGUAGCAACUGCUAGCAUAAUUCCAAUAGACUCUUAGCAUCGCUACGAGUGACAAAGUCUCAUCGUAGUCAACACCUUGAACUUGUCGGAAACAUCUUUGCGACAAGUCGAGAUUUCUUAAUGGAGAUACUUCCUGUCACGUCCAAGAUGCGACCCUAUCCUCAAUUUGGCAGGAGGGCCUUGUCAGGGAUAGAAGCGCAUCUCGUCGUGUCACAAGAAUGGAUAUCGUUACAAGUACAUGUACUGAAAAGAAGAGAUAUAUAUAUAAUUGGCUUACACUCGCCACAAGCUACACCAGAGUCACAACAGUACAAUAUAUCAACAUCAUGAAUUAGAGCGGGGUCCGACUACGGACGAAAACAAACGAGAAAAUAAGAACGAUGUCCAUCCUUGCUAUCCCAGGCUGACGGCCUGGAACCCAUCCUAGAUCGAUAAAGAAGAAGAAGAAGCAACUCCAAAUGAACAAUCAACGCACUCGCGUCGAGUAACCUUUACCUGUACCUGCAACUGGUGUUGUAGUAAUCUGUGAGCCACAGGGGACUCAGCAAUCUCAUUUCCAAAGGUAUCAAGACUAGCAAAGCUUAAUGGGUGAGGCAUGGUUAAGUGGUGAGGUUGCAGCAGUGGCUAAGCAUAUAUUUGGUGGCUAAACUUACGAGUACAAGAAAUAAUAUGGGAGAUCUACGCAUAACGGACGUGAGCUACUAAUGAUCAAAUGAAUGAUCCUGAACACCUACCUACGUCAGACAAAAACCCCACCGUGUCCUUGGUCGGAGAAGGAACUCACGAAAGAGACAGUCACGGUUACGCACAUAGUUGGCAUAUUUUAAUUAAGUUAACUUCAAGUUAUCUAGAACCAGUGUUAAACAAAGUUUCCACGUUGCCACAUAACCGCGGACACGGCUUUCCGAAAAGAUUUAACCCUGCAGGGGUGCUCCAACUAGUCCAUCACAAAUUACCACAAGCUGCAUAAAAAUCCUCAAUCACGAAGCUCGCGAUCUCGUCGGAUUCCCUAGUGGAAAACCUCAACUCUGAGAUUACCCAAAGCAUCACCGGAAUCCCGAUGCACAAGAUAUCUCGUCAAAGGUAAAACUAAUCCAGCAAGGGCGCCCGACGUGUCGACGAUCCCGAUAGGAGCCGCGUAUCUUGUUCUCAGGACACGACGGAUGAGCUAGACGUCGGGAUCGCGAAACCUCCGGGUGACCAGAGGGGCGCCGGACAUCGCUCAGGUGGGACCAACACUCAUGAGGAGCACUGGCCCGGGGGUUGAUUAAAUUUCCUUGGGUUAAUUACUCCAUAUGCAGUUCAUUAGUUAUUAGGCAAAUGUAGUACCAAAGUUGGGCCUUGCCAGACCAGCUUUAAUCUAAAACGAAUUAUCAAGGGGGUCCCCAUAACAACCCCGAUCGUGUUAGGAGCGCUCAAUUAUGGAACAUAACACCGGUAGCCGAAACUAAGGGGGUAAAGGUGGAACAAAACACCGGGCUAGAAAGGCCGAGCCUUCCACCUUUUACCAAGUAUAUAGGUGCAUUAAAUUAAAUAUCAUUUAAUAUGGUGAUAUGACAAUGGACCCAUGUUUUCACAUGGAAGCAACUACACCUGCAACUAGCAACGCUAACAACAGGGUUAAGCAAGCGAUAACAUAGCCAAUCAGUGGUUUGCUAGGUUGAACAGUUGAAGGUUUCAUGGCAUUGUUGAGAGGCUCAUAUAUAACAUGUGGUAGGCAAUGAGACGUAAACGGUAGAAACGGUAAAACUAGCAUGGCAAUGAUAGUAAUGGUAUAUGGGGAAAUGGUCAUCUUGCAUGAGAUCCCGCUUGGAAGAAGAACAACUCCGUGAAGUCGGUGAACCAACGUAGUCGAACGGGUCCUCACAUUCCGACACGCUUGCGGAACUCUAUCGAGACGGAGCAAACCGGAAACAAACAUCAACACAUAUAUUCACCACACGAUGCACAACAUGAUGCACAGCCUACUAUGAUGCAUGAUCAGUUCAAUGAUGCAAGACAUGGCAUGGAAAUUCACCUCACGCAAACACUACACAUUAAGUGAAGCUCGAUAUGCAACGAGUUGCAUAUCGACGAAACUCCAUGUUUAAUUGUUUAGUUCACUACCGUUAAUUUACACAGCAAUAUUAAAUUGUUGUUAACAUGGCAAGGGGUGAAGCGGGUGAUUCUAUCAGUCAUCCUAGUCGGUUGACACGCGGAACAUAGAACGGGGCUACGUACAAGAGACAUGCAACACAAGACGUUAUGCCAUGAAUGUGUCAUGCAUGCUAGUUCACAACAACAAGGGAACCAUGGCGACAAGACGGAAACGGUGCCACGACAACGUUCCUAUCCUGAUAACUCGUCGAGAUAUCGUGCCAACGUAUAGGAAACGUGUGUGGGAACGUUAAAUAAAGAUGGGGUGAUCCCGCUACCGGGUUCCCAUGUGUCGAGGGCGCGACGAAAGAGAGACAACGUGCAACGGGCAACAUAAGGCGCAAACAUACAAUACAUCUCAUACAUCAUAUGCACACGGUUCACGACACGUUCCAACGGUAUACCUUCGAAGCGUGCCUAUCGGAGGGGUUCGGUUCGUAGCGGUGUGAACAUAUGUCGUCGUGGAAGUCGUGGUACUCAGGUCUCGUCGACGGUAGUCAUACUCUGGCGUCGGUGCACGGGUCUUCUCGUCGGUAGUCGAACACGUUCCAAAGAUGUCCGGGGGUCGUCGCGGACGUCGUGGACUCGGCGAACUUGUCGACGACCCACGGUGGGGGGAUGGUGCACGCGGCGACGGCAAGCGGCAUCACAAGCAAGCAACGCGACUACAUCAGCAACAGCAGCAAGCAACGGCGACACAACGGAAAGCAGCAACGGCAUGCAUCGGCACAACAAUCAGCAAGCCUAGCAACUAACAACAGCAAGCAUUAGCAGCUAACAUCUAGCAAUCGGCUCAGUAGGCAAGCUACAUCAUGCAGCUAGCAAGCAGCAAAGCAUCUACAACAAGCAACUAACAGCAGCUACAACUCUCGGCAACAGGCAAGCACAGCAAGCAGCAGCCGGAUACGCAACAACACAAGCAACAUGGCAAGCAGCAGCUCGGCAGCAUAGCGGUAGCAAGACGCGGCAACAACAACAGGGCAUCGGCAGCUGCGCAGGCAUCAGCAGCUAGCCAGCAUCUACAACCGGUAGCAGCAACAUCAAAUCGGCAGCAGGAGCAGCAUGCGGCAACAGGGCGGGCACGGGGGCGCGUGGGACCGGCGACCAGCUCGGGAAGACGAGGCGAGCAACCGGCGCACGGGCUCCUGCCGGCGGAGGCCAUGGCCAGGGCGAUGCGGGGCACCAUGGGGCCGGCGCGCGGGGAGACGAGCACCUGCUGGCGAGGCUAGCACGAGGGGCACAGCAGCGGGGGCAGGAGGAGCCAUGGGGAGGACCUCGGUAGGGGAACGCGACCGCAAGCGGCAGGGGGGCCUGACCCAGGGCGGCGGACGGCGGAAGGCUGAGGCCGACGGCGGCGCGCGGCCAUGGCGAGGCAAGGCGAGGCCGAGGGCGAGGCACGAGGGCGAGGCCAUGGCGGCGAGGCCGAGGGGAGCACGACGCAGGGAGGCGAGGCCUGGCACCAGCGGGGAAGAGGGCCAUGGCUAGGGAUCGGGGCGAGGUCGAGGGAAACCGGGAGGAAGCUAGGAGGAGGGAGGAAGAGGGGAUCGGGCAGGAGGACGAGGGCUGCGCUAGGGAGGAGAUGGGGAACGAGGAGGGGAGGAGAAGGCACGCAAGGGAGACGAGAGGGGAUCAGCUCCUGGCUGCGCUAGGGUUGGGCCAGUUGGGCCUUGGGCCUUGGCCGGGUGGCUCCUCUCCCUCUCUCUUGCGUUUUUGUUUUUUUUAAACAGAAAAACUCAAACAAAAGAAAAGCUUUUAACAAAUAAAAAAAUGCUUUUGGCUCCUUUAAAACAAACCCCAACUAUAAAAUAGAUUGGGCAUUUUUUAAAAGAAUAAAAAUGAAACCUUUUGAAGAAUAAAAAUAAACCCUUUUAUAAAUAAAAUGAGUCUCUAGUUUUAAAAAAACAAAAGGAAAAAAAUAAAGGAAACCCAAGGGUUGCCCCCACAUUUAAUGAAAGGGCUUUUUUUAAAAGAAGACGAAUGUUUUGAAGGGGUUAAAACUGAAACUUUGACGCAGCCACAAAAAUAGAAUGGAGAGGAGAGAAGGGUUUUACGUCCACGGUGCAACAGGGUUUUGAAGUGGCUCUGUUGCACCCACUCUCAUCACUCCAACAAAACAACGCCACUCACAAGCAUAACACCCAACAACACGGAGCAACAAGCAACACUGACAAAACACAGUUGACAUGAUGCCAUGCAUGAUGCCAUGAUGCAAACUAAAUGAUGAUGCAACAAACAAAAAUAACCACAUGACGGAAACGGAAAUAAAGGGGAAUCUUCUGGGGCAUCGGCAUCGGGCUGUCACACUUACCAUCAUCAUCCGUCUCCCUUUUAAAAAUCCAUCUGUACUCAACAGCCUUACGACCAUCAAGUAGUUCUUCCAAAGUCUACACUCUGUUUUCAUAUAUGGAUCCUACCUCGUAUUUCAUGGCGUCCAGCCAUUCGUCGGAAUCCAGGCCCACCAUCGCUUCUCCAUAGCUCGUAGGUUCAUUGUUGUCCGACAACAUGACCUCCAAGAUAGGGUUAUCGUACCGCUCUGGAGUAGUAUGUGACCUUGUCGACCUACGAGGUUUGUAGUAACUUGAUCCUGAAGCUUCAUGAUCACUAUCAUCAGCUUCCAGUUCAAUUGGUGUAGGCGUCACAGGAACAACUUUCUGUGCCCUGCUACACACUGGUUGAAGUGACGGUUCAAUAACCUCAUCAAGUUCCACCAUCCUCCCACUCAAUUCUUUCGAGAGAAACUUUUUCUCGAGAAAGGAUCCGUUUCUAGAAACAAACACUUUGAUUCUGGAUCUGAGAUAGGUGGUAUACCCAACUGUUUUGGGUGUCCUAUGAAGAUGCAUUUAUCCACUUUGAGUUCGGGCUUAUCACACUCAAACUUUUUCACAUAAGCAUCGCAGCCCCAAACUUUUAAGAAACGAAGGUUAGGUUUCUCCAAACCAUAGUUCAUACGGUGUCAUCUCAACGGAAUUAUGUGGUGCCCUAUUUAAAGUGAAUGCGGUUAUCUCUAAUGCCUAACCCGAAACGAUAGUGGUAGUUCGAUAAGAGACAUCAUAGUAUGCACCAUAUCCAAUAGGGCACGCCUAUGACGUUCGGACACACCAUCACACUAUGGUGUUCCAGGUGGCAUGAGUUAUGAAACAAUUUCCACAUUGUCUUAAAUGCGUACCAAACUUGCAACUCAGAUAUUCAUCUCUACGGUCAUAUCAUAGAUAUUUUAUCCUCUUGUCACAACGAUCUUCAACUUCACUUUGAAAUUAUUUGAACCUUUCAAUAAUUCAGACUUGUGAUUCAUCAAGUAAAUAUACCAGUAUAUACUCAAAUCAUGUGUGAAGUAAGAACAUAACGAUAUCCACUGCGUUCCUCAGCACUCAUUGGACUGCAUACAUCAAAAUGUAUUACUUCCAAUAAGUCACUAUCUAGUUCCAUCUCACUGAAAACGAGGCCUUCAGUCAUCUUGCCCAUGUGGCAUGAUUUGCAUGUCUCAAGUGAUUCAAAAUCAAGUGAGUCCAAAUGAUCCGUCUGCAUGGAGUUUCUUCAUGCGUUUACACCAACAGACAUGGUUCGCAUGUCUCAAACGUUUAAAAAUGAGUGAGUCCAUAGAUCCAUCAGUAUGGAGCUUCUUCAUGCGUUUUAUACCAAUAUGACUUAAGUGACAGUGCCACAAAUAAGUGGUACUAUCAUUACUACUUUGUAUCUUUUGGCAUCAAUAUUAUGAACAUGUGUAUCACUACGAUCGAAAUUCAAUAAACCAUUGAAGGUAUUUAUUCAAGCAAAUAUAAUAACCAUUAUUCUCUUUAAAUGAAUAAUCGUAUUGCAAUAAACACGAUCUAAUCAUGUUCAUUCUCAACGCAAACACCAAAUAACAUUUACUUAGGUUUAACACUAAUCCCGAUGGUAGAGGGAGUGUGUCAUGUUUUGAUCACAUCAACCUUGAAAUUUCUGUCAACACAUCAUCACCUCGCCUUUAGCUAGUCUCCGUUUAUUCCAUAGCUUUUAUUUUAGCAACCGAACCGGUAUCUAAUACCCUCGUGCUACUAGGAGCACUAGUAAACUAAACAUUAAUAUCAUGUAUAUCCAAUAUAAUUUGGUCAACUCUGGCAGCCUUCUCAUGUGCCAAGUAUCUAGGGUAGUUCCGCUUCAGUGACCGUUCCCCUCAUUACAGAAGCACUUAGUCUCGGUUUUGGGUUCAACCUUGGGUUUCUUCACUACAGCAACAACUAGUUUGUCGUUUUAUGAAGUAUCCCUUAUUGUCCUUGCCCUUCUUGAAACUAGUGGUUUUACUAACCAUCAACAAUUGAUGCUCCUACUUGAUUUCUACUUUCACGGUGUCAAACAUUGUGAAUAGCGCAAGGAUCAUCAUAUCUAUCCCUGAUAUGUUAUAGUUCAUCACGAAACUCUGUAGAUUGGUGGCAGUGGCUUUGGAGAAAUAUGUCAAUCACUAUCUUAUCUAGAAGAUCAACUCCCACUCGAUUCAAGCGAUUGUAGUACUCAGACAAUCUAAGCACAUGCUCAACGAUUGAGCUUUUCUCCCUUACUUCGCAGGCUAAGAAACUUGUCGAAGGUCUCAUACCUCUUGACGUGGGCACGUGCCUGAAAUCCCAAUUUCAGCUCUUGGAACAUCUCAUAUGUUCUGUGACGUUCAAAACGUCUUCGGUGCCUCAAUUCUAAGCCGUUAAGUAUUACGCACUAAACUAUCACGUAGUCAUCAAAACGUGUAUGUCAGAUGUUCGCAACAUCCAUAGGCGAUGUUUGGGGUUCAGCACACCGAGCGGUGCAUUAAGGACAUAAGCCUUCUAUGCAGCAAUGAGGACAAUCCUCAGUUUAUGGACCUUGUCCGCAUAAUUGCUACUAUCAUCUUUCAACUAAGUUUUCUCUAGGAACAUAUCAAAAACAGUUGAGCUACAGUGCAAGCUACAACAUAAUUUGCAAAGACCUUUUGACUAUGUUCAUGACAAUGAGUUCAAUUAAUCAUAUUACUUAAGAACUCUCACUCAAAUUGACAUCCCUCUAGUCAUUCGAGUGUCGCAUGAUCCAAAUUCACUAACUGAAGUCCGAUCAUCACGUGAGAUGAGUAUAGUUUCAAUGGUGAACAUCUCCAUGUUCAUCAUAUCAACUAUAUGAUUCAUGCUCGAUCUUUCGGUCUCUUGUGUUCCGAGUCCAUCUCUGUACAUGCUAGGCUCGUCAAGUUUAACCCGAGUGUUCCGCGUGUGCAACUGUUUUGCACCCGUUGUAUGUGAACGUUGAGUCUAUCACACCAGAUCAUCACGUGGUGUUUCGAAACGAUGAACUGUUGCAAAUGGUGCACAGUCAGGGAGAACAUAGUUUUAUCUUGAAAUUAGUGAGGGAUCACCUUAUAAUGCUAUCGUCAUCCUAAGGAAAAAAGGUGCAUAAAAGGAUUAACAUCACAUGCAAAUCAUAAGUGACAUGAUAUGGCCAUGAACUUGUGCUUCUUGAUCUCCAUCAUCAAAGCACCGGCAUGAUCUCCAUCAUCACCGGUGCCACACCAUGAUCUCCAUCAUUGUGUUCCCAUCGAGGUUGUCGCGCUAACUAUGUUGUUACUACUAAANNNNNNNNNNNNNNNNNNNNNNNNNNNNNNNNNNNNNNNNNNNNNNNNNNNNNNNNNNNNNNNNNNNNNNNNNNNNNNNNNNNNNNNNNNNNNNNNNNNNNNNNNNNNNNNNNNNNNNNNNNNNNNNNNNNNNNNNNNNNNNNNNNNNNNNNNNNNNNNNNNNNNNNGGGCUAUAUCCCCGUCACCCGUUAUCAAAUGACAACACUUGUCUAUGGCCAGGAAACCUUGACCAUCUUUGAUCAACGAACUAGUCAACUAGAGGCUCACUAGGGACAGUGUGUUGUCUAUGUAUCCACACAUGUAUUUGAGUUUUCCAAUCAAUACAAUUCUAGCAUGGAUAAUAAACGAUUAUCAUGAAUAAGUAAAUAUAAUAAUAACCGAUUUAUUAUUGCCUCUAGNNNNNNNNNNNNNNNNNNNNNNNNNNNNNNNNNNNNNNNNNNNNNNNNNNNNNNNNNNNNNNNNNNNNNNNNNNNNNNNNNNNNNNNNNNNNNNNNNNNNNNNNNNNNNNNNNNNNNNNNNNNNNNNNNNNNNNNNNNNNNNNNNNNNNNNNNNNNNNNNNNNNNNNNNNNNNNNNNNNNNNNNNNNNNNNNNNNNNNNNNNNNNNNNNNNNNNNNNNNNNNNNNNNNNNNNNNNNNNNNNNNNNNNNNNNNNNNNNNNNNNNNNNNNNNNNNNNNNNNNNNNNNNNNNNNNNNNNNNNNNNNNNNNNNNNCUAGAGGCAAUAAUAAAAUAGUUAUUAUUAUAUUUCCUAUUUCAAGAUAAUAGUUUAUUAUCCAUGCUAGAAUUGUAUUGAAUGGAAACACAAAUACAUGCGUGGGUACAUAGACAAAACACAGUCCCUAGUAAGCCUCUAGUUAACUAGCUCGUUGAUCAAAUAUGGUUAAGGUUUCCUAGCCAUAGACAAGUGUUGUCACUUGAUAACGGGAUCACGUCAUUAGGAGAAUGAUGUGAUGGACAAGACCCAAAAUAUUAACGUAGCAUGUGAUCGUGUUAUUUUAUUGCUACUGUUUUCUGCAUGUCAAGUAUACAUUCCUAUGACCAUGAGAUCAUGUAACUCACUAACACCGGAGGAAUGCCUUGUGUGUAUCAGACGUCGCAACGUAACUGGUUUACUAUAAAGGUGCCCAUUGAAUUAGCAUGGAUCAAGACUGGGAUUUGUCACUCCGUAUGAUGGAGAGGUAUAAACGUCUUAUUCGGCCACCGGGCGGGGCCAAACCGAAUGACUCCUUCCAAGUUGUAUUGGAGGACUCCUCCCCCUCUCCUUGCGCCUGCCGAACUCUAGGACUUGUCCCUGGGGCGCCACCCCUCUACUCCCUCCUAUAUAUAGUGGACGUGAGAGAGGCUUUUGGCACCUCAAGCCAAGGCGCAACCCUCUUUCCCUCCACCACUUCGUGACACCCCGUAGCUAGUUUGGUACGGUACGUCGAAGCCCUGCCGGAGUAGCUCCACCACCAUCACCGCCACGUCGUCAUGCUUCCAGAGAAUUUAGCUACCUCUUCGUCUCUCUUGCUGGAUCAAGAAGGUGGAGAUUGUCAUCGAGCUGCACGUGUACUGAACGCAGAGCUGCCGUCCGUUCGGCGCUAGAUCGGGAUGGAGUUCGUGGCACGCUUGCGAUUUGGAUCGCGAAGACGUUCGACUACAUCAACCGCGUUUCUUAACACUUUCGCGGAAGAAAUUGAAUCACACUUUCGCGGAAGAAUAAACACACUUUCACGGAAGAAUAGACACACUUUCGCGGAAGUUUUUCCGCGAAAGUUUUUUUUUCAAAUUAUAUAAAAGUGUUGGUGCAAAACUAUAUAAGAGGCCCAUGUGUCACUCCGUAUGAUGGAGAGGUAUAAAAGUAUGAUUGCAAUUUCUUCCGCGAAAGUUUUUUUUUUUAAAUUAUACAAUUUUAUAUACGGGGUCUAUUCUGCAGCGUACAAUUUCACAACGUAAAACAUACCUUCGUCGAACUAUAAACGUCUUAUGCGGGUUGACAUUAUACGGGAUGUGCUAGAGAGGUUCUUAUAUUGUUGCCUCCCACUCUAGACUCUCCCGUUUCGAUGGAUAUUGCAAGGUUUGUCCUUUCAGGUAUCUAAGCUAUGCCGUGUGUUGGUAUGGUUGAGGUCACUUUUACAUCCACUGCAUACUAAGUUACUCAAAGGAUAUAUCACGUCCUUCAAUCUUAGCUUCUCAAUGUGACACGGUCAUUGGUCGCGGCAUAUGGUUUUUUGACCUGGGCGAUGAUGCUACCCAACUACCCUAGUUGAGCUCCAUGUGCGAUUAUGAAGAUCAUUUCUACAAUUAAUGUAAUAUACUCCCUUCAUUUUUAAAUAUGUAUUUUUUAAAAGAUUUUACUAAAAGACUAUAUACAAAUGUAUAUAAACACGUUUUAAAAUAUAGAUUCACUCAUUUUGCUUCGUACUUAAUUUUCUAAUAAUUUUUUUAAAAUAACUUAUAUUUAGGAACAGAAGAAGUACAUGAUUAAUUAUAAUUAAUGCAAUACAUAUUUUUUUCCUAAAUAAAUUUAUUAAAAAUCGGUGUUAUUUUCAAAAUCAAUCUCAAUUAAUGUUGUUUUAAAAUCAAUAAUGUUUUUUUUGCAGGGGAAAUCAACAAUAAUUAAUUGAAACAAUUAAUGUUGUUUUAAAACCAAUACUAAUAUUUUUUGCGGGGAAAAUCAACAAUAAUUAAUUGAAUCAAUGUUGUUUCCAAAUUAUCGCAUGUGUAUAUCAUUGAAGCGGCAUAAGCUGUUGGAUACGUGUGGUUGCAUGUAUGAGAUUGUGGAAAUUCACGCGUCUCAUGCUGGUGAUUGGCAAAUCUGUUUUGGCUCGAGAAAAAGAUUCCCCUUAACACCUACGGAACUGGGACUCGUGCCUCUGCAAUAUUUGCAGUCGGUAGAUGGUGCUCCACCGAGUUGGUCCAUUCACGCAGCGCAGUCGCCAGCGCUACGAGUACGGCGCCAGAACGCACGCUCGUCCCGACGACAUGGCCGUCUCGCCUCUUGCACUCGUGCUCCUCCUCCCCGCAUUCGCCGUAUCUCUCUUGUACAUCCUUCGUAAGCCCGCCCGUCUGCGCAGCGGCAGCGAUGGAGGACGGUGGCAGCUUCCGCCGUCGCCGCGCGGCCUUCCUCUGCUCGUCCACUUACAUCUCCUCGGCUCGUUGCCGCACCGGGCCCUGCGGUCCCUGGCCGCCGCGCACGGCCCGGUUCUGCUGCUCCGGCUUGGCCGCGUGCCUGCUGUGGUCGUGUCAUCGGCGGCCGCCGCGGAGGAGGUGAUGAGGACCCGCGACCUGACCUUCGCGAGCCGGCCCCGGAGCGUCAUGGCCGAGCGGCUCCUCUACGGGCGCGACGUAGCGUUUGCGCCCUACGGCGAGUACUGGCUGUUGAGUAAAUAGACAAUUUUUCGAGUACAUUAAUCCAUAAAAUAAUAACUAGCAUGGCAUUGACUAGACUAAUGACAUACUGAUCUUGAGCUAACCUAGCACAUACUAUGCAUAUAGUGGAUACAUCUAUGCAAACAAGUAGUACUGCUAGAAUAAAUACGAACAUGAGGAUAAACGAGUCAUACCCUUCAAUCGGCCAGUUGGCCGUAGCAGCAGCGGCGGCGGCAGCAGUAUCCUCUGCCGUCUUCUUCUCGGCUUCCUCGCGGAGACGAUCAGCUUCGCUUGGUGAAGACAUGGCGAUGACGAGGGUGACGCGGACGUAAACGAAGCAGACGGACGGAGGCGAGCAGUCGCGUGAUCGCUCCCCAAAAACCUAAUCGCCCCUCUCCCGUACAGGAACCGGAGAGGCGAGGUUUCGGAGGCCUGCUUUUCCGUCGACCGUGUACGCGGUAAACGGGACGGAGUCGCCGGCGGCAGCAGCAGUCAAGGAACGAAGGCGUGAGGCAGAUGUGAUCUGAUUUUCGUGACGGCUAGGGUAGGCGAUCGCGUGCUUAUAAAGGCGGCUGGGUGGAGAGACGUGGGACAAGCCCACGUCCGAGUCGGUAACAGCCACGAUCCGACGUCUCGGAUCGUUCCUUGUCCGUUACGUAUUCUCCGUUCCUGACCGGCAAAAAUAAGCGCGUAGGUAUGAGCUCGGCUCGGCUCAUUCCCGCAAUCCGCGGCGCGGCGCGUCGUGGCGAGGCGUGGCGGGCGGCGGAGGAGGAGUGCGCGAGGGCACCUUCUCUUCUCACUCUCCAAUAGCAUGUGGAAGAGAGACCCUUAUAAAGGGGUCUAAACUCUCCUCCACUAGCGGGGUGGGACUAAACUCCCACCACCUUGCCAUGCCACCACCUACAUGGGCCCUUGUAGAUUUUCUGAAAUUCUCUAAUGGGCCUAAGGCCCACCUCCAAAUUUCAACAAUCCCCCACCAGAUCUCAAGGGCACAUCGUGUUCCCUCGUUCCAAUCACUGUUUUAAUAUACCAGCAUUUCAGUGAAGACCUAUUAAGGUUGAGCUUCACCUAGAACAAGUAGCUACACUCCUUUACAACUGAACAAUGAACUAUGCCUUGAAUUGUCAGCUUGGCGUAAAAGAGCUUCACCACAAGUCUUACUAGUACUAGACUGCCGAAGGUGACCCCUCGGGUGGAGCAUAUUAGUCACACUCCUGGCCUAUUCAUGAGUUUACUAGAGAUCACCCAAACCUCAUAGACUGUGACCAGCAGUCAAGCUCAUAUAGGUGUGUUCCUCCAAAGAUCGCUCUGUAGGACAGCAGCUUGCUUACAUAUAAGCUUUAGAACACAUUAAGACAGUAGUCAUCCUACCGUACAGUAUCCGAGAGUAUUGCAUCUCCAACGGAGUGGGUUAGUAAAGUUACUCUCCUCAGUUCACCACUGGCUUGUUUUCCCAGGUCCUACUUCACGGGAUCUCCGAUCAUAUAGGUUGGGUUACUACCAUGGCAACUCAUGUGGGUCUCAUACCCAUCUCCCUCGAUGCACUAUCUAUCACAACACGUGAUAGCCCUUUAGUAAAGGGAUCUGCCAGAUUCUUAGCCGUUUGGAUAUAAUCCAACGCUAUCACUCCGGAGUUUCUCAAACGUCUGACAGCCUUCAAUCUCAUUCUUAUAUGUUUGUUGGACUUCAUAUUGUCCUUUGAACUCUUCACUUUAACAAUAACCGUCUGAUUAUCGCAGUUCAUAAGGAUAGCCGGAACCGGCUUCUCAACCACAGGUAAGUCCAUCAAAAGAUCUCGAAGAAAUUCUGCUUCGACACCAGAUGUGUCUAAUGCUGUUAAUUCUGCUUCCAUUGUCGAUCUUGUUAAGAUCGUUUGCUUGCAAGACUUCCAGGAAACAGCACCACCUCCAAGAGUAAACAUAUACCCAGUAGUGGCCUUCAUCUCAUCAGCAUCAGAGAUCCAAUUCGCAUCACUAUACCCUUCAAGUACCGAUGGGAAUCCCGUAUAGUGAAGCCCGUGGUUGACAGUACCUUUCAAGUAGCGCAUAAUUCUUUCAACGGCACGCCAAUGAACAUCGCCUGGGUUUGCAACAAACCGGCUAAGUUUGCUCACAGCAAACGCGAUGUCAGGCCUCGUUGCGCUAGCUAGGUACAUAAGUGAACCGAUAAUUUGAGAGAAUCUCAAUUGAUCUAUAGCUGUACCUUUAAACUUUCGAAUAAGCACACUAGGAUCAUACGGUGUUUGACAAAUUUUGCAGUCUGAAUAUCCAAAGCGACUCAAAAUCUUAUCAACAUAGUGGGAUUGCAGAAGUGUAAUCCCACCCUCAUCAUCUCUCAACAGCUUGAUGUUCAAGAUAACAUCAGCCACCCCAAGGUCCUUCAUCUCAAAGUUUUUAGACAGAAAAGACUUAACCUCCUCAAUUACUUUGAGGUUGGUUCCAAAUAUCAGUAUGUCAUCAACAUACAAGCACAAUAUAACUCCUUCGCCCCCACCAUGGCGAUAGUAUACAUAUUUGUCAGCUUCAUUAACAACGAAGCCAACAGAUGUCAGAGUUGUAUUAAACUUCUCAUGCCAUUGCUUAGGUGCUUGUCUCAGACCAUAUAAAGAUUUCAGCAACUUACACACCUUUCCUUCCUGACCUUCUAUCACAAAGCCAUCUGGCUGUUGCAUAUAGAUUUCCUCAUUUAGCUCUCCAUUCAGGAAGGCCGUCUUAACGUCCAUUUGAUGAACGAGAAGACCAUGAGAGGCCGCCAAUGAGAGUAGUACUCUAAUGGUGGUCAGUCUAGCCACAGGUGAAUAAGUAUCGAAGAAAUCUUCCUCUUCUUUCUGGGCAUAGCCCUUGGCCACAAGCCUAGCCUUGUACUUUUCAAUCGUACCGUCGGGCCUAAGCUUCUUUUUGAACACCCACUUGCAUCCCAAUGGUUUGCAACCAUAGGGACGAUCAGUGAUUUCCCAUGUCCCGUUAGCCAUGAUGGAGUCCAUCUCGCUACGGACAGCAGCUUUCCAGUAAUCAGUAUCUGGAGAAGCAUACGCUUCUGAAAUAGAAGUGGGAUUAUCAUCCACGAGGUAUACGAAGAAAUCAUCACCAAAGGUCUUUGCAGUCCUUUGUCUCUUGCCCCUACCACGGGCUUCCUCGUCAUCCUCCUCAGGAUUUUCAUCAUGUGUUUGUUCAUAAUAUUCCAUAGGAAUGGCAGGCUCAGGAGUUAUCUCAGAUUCCUGUCUAGAAGUGCUUUGCAUAUCUCUCAUGGGAAAUAUAUCCUCAAAGAAUGUAGCAUCCCUCGACUCCAUUAUUGUACCAACCUUCACGUCAGGUACCUCAGAUUUCACUACUAGAAAUCUAUAGCCUACGCUAUUCUUAGCGUAUCCCAAAUUAACGCAAUCCACAGUCUUUGGUCCAAGCUUACGCUUCUUGGGGAUCGGUACAUUGACUUUCGCCAAGCAGCCCCAAGUACGUAAGUACGAGAGUGUCGUCCUUCUCUUCGACCACUCCUCGUAGGGAGUGACCUCAUUAUCUUUUGUAGGAACUUUAUUCAGGACAUGACACGCGGUCAAUAUAGCCUCCCCCCACCAUGCCUUGGAUAAACCCGAUGUAUCUAACAUGGCGUUAACCAAAUCAGUUAGAGUACGGUUUUUCCGCUCGGCAACCCCGUUUGACUGGGGUGAAUAGGGAGGCGUCCUCUCAUGAAUAAUGCCGUGUUCCGCACAAAAUGAAUCAAAUUCGUUUGAGAAGUACUCUCCACCACGAUCAGACCGGACUCGUUUAAUUUUCUUUUCAAGUUAAUUCUCAACUUCUGCCUUAUAGAUUUUCAAGUAGUGUAGAGCCUCAUCUUUAGUAUUUAACAAAUACACAUAGCAAAAUCUAGUGGAAUCAUCUAUCAAUGUCAUGAAGUAUUUCUUUCCACCUUUAGUCAACACACCAUUCAUCUCACAAAGAUCAGAAUGUAUGAGUUCUAAUGGUGCCAAGUGUCUCUCCUCUGCAGCCUUGCGAGGCUUGCGAGGUUGCUUUGCUUGCACACACGAGUGGCACUUAGAACCUUUGGCCAAAGUGAAAGUUGGGAUUAAAUUCAGUUUUGCUAGCCGCGACAUAACACCGAAACUUAUGUGACAAAGACGUGAAUGCCAAACUUCAGAUUCAUUAACACUCGAAUGAAUAUUGUUCACGACUUUAUUACAAAAAUCUGCUAGAGAAAGGCGGAACAGAUCUCCGCAUUCAUAACCUUUUCCAACGAAAAGUCCAUAUUUCGUAACUACUACUUUAUUAGACUCGAACACCAACUUAAACCCUUCUCUACACAGAAGGGAGCCACUAACGAGAUUCUUCUUGAUGGCGGGGACAUGCUGCAUGUUCUUCAGCUGCACGAUCCUUCCCGAAGUAAACUUCAGAUCGACCGUGCCAACACCAAGAACAGAAGCACUCGCGGCAUUCCCCAUCAAUACGGACCCGCGACCGGUGGCCUGAUAAGAAGAGAACAAAGAUAAGUCAGCACACACAUGAAUAUUUGCACCCGUGUCCACCCACCAAUCGGUGGACUGACAAACUGUAAAUACAGUAAGUAAAUUACCGUACCCAGAUGCACCACUUUCAUUGUUGCCCACAAUCAUGUUUGCAGACUUGGAGUCCUGCGCCGGCUUCUUGUACUUGUUUGGGCAUUUAUUCGCCCAAUGUUCCUCUGAACCACAAGUAUAGCAGCCAUCCCCCUUCUUAUUCUUCUUGAAGGGCUUCUUCCCCUUCUUCUUGAAGUCGGUAUUCUGUUGGACAAAGUUCUUUCCCUUGGGCUUGUGAGAAUUGAAGUUCCUCUGAUGUACCAUAUUGGCAGCAGAAGAGCUUUCCACCGCUUUUCCAUUGGAGUCCUUUGCUCUUGAGUUCUGCUCAACACUCAGAUGGCCGAUGAUGUCCUCUACUGAGAACUCACGCCUCUGAUGUUUCAGAGUAGUAGCAAAGUUCCUCCAGGAAUUAGGGAGCUUAGCAAUUAUACAGCCCGCGACAAACUUGCCCGGCAAAUUGCACUUAAGAACCUCAAGUUCCUUAGCUAUGCAUAUUAUCUCAUGAGCUUGUUCCAAUACAGAACGGUUGUCAACCAUCUUGUAAUCGUGAAACUGCUCCAUAACAUACAUCUCACUCCCAGCAUCGGUGGCCCCGAAUUUAGAUUCGAGCGCCUCCCACAAGUCCUUGGCAACAUGCAUAUGUAAAUAUGCAUCAACCAGCUUAUCUCCGAUCACGCUAAUGACUGCUCCAAGGAAUAGGACGGUGGCCUCCUUAAACAUCUUCUCCUGUUCAGGAGUGAUAGUUUCCGUAGGAGUGACACCGGCUACCCAGAACACGUUCAUAGCCGUGAGCCAUAAGGUGGUUCUCGUUUGCCAACGCUUGAAAAAAGUACCGGUAAACUUAUCCGGUUUCAGUGCAGCAGCAAAACCAUUACUCGAAAAAUUCCUACAGACAUUAGGUUUUUGGAUUGUUGAGUAAAUAGGCAAUUUUCCGAGUACAUUAAUCCACAAAAUAAUAACUAGCAUGGCAUUGACUAGACUAAUGACAUACUGAUCUUGAGCUAACCUAGCACAUACUACGCAUAUAGUGGAUACAUCCGAAUCGGUAACAGCCACGAUCCGACGUCUCGGAUCAUUCCCGCGGCAACCCACGGCGCGUCGUGGCAACCCGCUGGCGGGCGGCGAAGGAGGAGUGCGCAAGGGCAUCUUCUCUUCUCACUCUCCAAUAGCAUGUGGAAGAGAGAACCUUAUAAAGGGGUCCAAACUCUCCUCCACUAGCGGGGUGGGACUAAACUCCCACCAUCUUGCCAUGCCACCACCUACAUGGGCCCUUGUAGAUUUUCUGAAAUUCUCUAAUGGGCCUAAGGCCCACCUCCAAAUUUCAACACUGGCGCCAGGCGCGCCGAGUGUGCGUGGUCCACCUCCUCAGCUCGCGUCGCAUCCUCUCCUUCCGCGGGCGUCCGGGAAGAGGAGGCCGCCGCGCUAGUCGAGCGCGUCCGCGGAGCGGGGGCGGGCGGCGCCGUCGUGGACCUGUGUGAGCUCCUCAUCGCCUACGCCAACACGGUGGUCUCGCGCGCCGCGUUCGGGGACAACAGCGCGCGCAGCCUGUACGAAGAAGGCGACAAGGGACGCGAGCUGAGGAAGGUGUUCACCGACUUCCAGGAGCUGCUCGGCACGGCGCCUUUUUGGGAGGUCGUGCCGUGGCUGGGCUGGUUGGACGCCGUGAGGUGGGUGGAGGGGAAGAUCAGACGGACUUUCGAGGCGCUCGACGGCGUGCUCCAGAAGGUGAUCGACGACCACCGCCGGCGGCGUCAAGCCGGCGGGCAGACGGGAGUUGACGCCAACGAUCACAGGGAUUUCGUGGACGUGUUGUUGGACGUGAACGAUACUGACAAAGAAGCUGGCAUGCGGCUCGACACGACCGAAAUCAAGGCCAUCAUCCUGGUACGUGUUUUCAUCUUGGUGCCGUGCAGCUGUGCUAGUUGUUAGUUGCUGACAUGUUCCUUGUACAUACGUGCAUGCGCAGGACAUAUUCGCUGCGGGCACGGACACCACGAGCACGGCAAUGGAGUGGGUCAUGACGGAGCUCGUCACACACCCGGACAGCAUGCGUAAGCUCCAGGACGAGAUCAGGGCGGCCAUCGUUGGCUCCGUGCAGGUCAUCACCGAGGACGACCUGGACAAGCUGCACUACCUCAAGGCCGUGAUCAAGGAGACCCUACGCCUGCACCCACCGGUUCCGCUCCUCGUGCCCCGAGAGCCACAAAAUGACGCCGAGAUACUCGGCCACCACGUCCCGGCGCGCACGCGGGUAGUGAUCAACGCGUGGGGCCAUCGGCCGGGACCCGGCGACGUGGGAGCGCGCGGAGGAGUUCCUGCCGGAGAGGUUUCUUGAUAGCGCGGUGGACUACAAUGGGCAUGACUUUGAGCUGAUACCAUUCGGCGCCGGGCGGAGGGGGUGCCCUGGGAUCGGGUUCGCCGCGCCGACCAUGGAGGUGGCGCUCGCGAACUUGUUGUACAAUUUUGACUGGGCGCCGGCGGGCGGGACGCCACUGGACAUGCGCGAGGUGAACGGGCUCUCCGUGCGGCUCAAGUCCGGCCUGCCACUUGUCGCUAAACCCUGGUUUCCUUAAAUAAACUUGUUGCGUAUGUCGGGUUCUAUUCAUCUCUGUUGCAAAACACAUGGUGUGCUGUUUGUUUUGAAGGUCUAAAAAAAAAACUUUGGUUCCUUUGAGAGCAUGUAUAAUGAUUGAUAAGAUGGUUCUAUCCUAGGUCUUGCAUGUAAUUCAAAAAUGACAAAAAAAUGUGUUACAAUGGGUCACCUCUUAGCAUUAUCUUCAAUAGCUAGUUAUUCGUAAAAACAUUGUGAGAUAUAUUGUGCUAAGAGGUCAUCUCUUGUUCUCUCUUAAAUAAGAGAAGACAAACCUUAUCUUAUGAGUUCUCUCUUACGAAGCACCAAUAUUUCAGAAAUCUGUGUAUCGCCGUUCAGUACUUUGUCGAUACUUCGAUACGCCAGAUACGUCUUCGAUACGGGUAUCCCCGAACUAUCGCCUUUUUCAAUUAAAAAAAGGAAAAAAUGGUGAUACAGGUAUCGUUGAAGUAUCGCCACUGAGUAUUGCUCAUAACAUGAUGUAUCGUUGAUCUGUUUAUAUAGAUAGUGUACUAAUAUAGUAGUUGGAUAAAAGUGUUUCCUAAGAAUGUUGUUUGUUGGAUAAAAUUGCUUGUUGAUGCUGUUGGCUUGUUGCUUGUUGAUUUUUGUGGCAUAAAAUUACUUGUUGAUGUUGUUGCUGCCUCCUAUUGCUAGUGAAGAAGAUACAAGUAUAAAUCAUGGCAUCUUUUAACUUUCUCCAUCACCCUUUGAGCAUUAUUGAUGUGUAUUGCUUGCUGAUUUUAAUUAUCGUCACGUUCAUAUGUGAGAGUUUUUAUAUAUUUAUUGUUAUGAGAAUAAAGAGCUCAAUGAAGAUUGUGCUCUCUAUAUCACCAUUAAGAAAAAACUUUUAAAAUGUUGGAAGAAGAGUAGUACCCCCUCC